rnacentral:tRNA from 1 species
GCCCCGGUAGCUUAGCGGCAGAGCGCCUGGCUGUUAACCAGGCGGUCGCAGGUUCGAAUCCUGCCCGGGGCG